GCAUCAGUGGUAUGGUGGUUAUCACAGUUGCCUUCCAAGCAGAUGACCCAGGUUUGUUUCCUGGCCAAUGCA